rnacentral:rRNA from 1 species
UACGUAGGGCGCAAGCGUUUAUCCGGAAUUAUUGGGCGUAAAGAGCUCGUAGGCGGUUUGUCGCGUCUGCUGUGAAAACCUAAGGCUCAACCUUGGGCUUGCAGUGGGUACGGGCAGACUAGAGUGCGGUAGGGGUGACUGGAAUUCCUGGUGUAGCGGUGGAAUGCGCAGAUAUCAGGAGGAACACCAAAGGCGAAGGCAGUGCCUGGGGACGUACCUGACGCUCAUGGCACGAAAGCGUGGGGAGCAAACAGG